AUGAAGAGCAUUUCAGUGUUGAAUACAUUAGCUAUAAAGCACACAGAAAGCUCACUCCUUUCUAUAGUAAAGACUAUUUUAAAAAAUGGUUAAAAUAGCUACCUCAAAGAAAAUAGAUACAAAUCAUGUCAUUUUAAUGACACUACAUCUUAAGAGAUAAUUGCUUAACAUUUGCAUUGAGUAAAUUAAAGCACAUAAGAAAAUGUAUAGCGUAUUGCAAUAUCCUACACAUUAUACCAUAUAUAUAAUUAAACAUGGCAAAGUAAGUGUAGUUAAUGAAGUCUUUUAGAAUACAUUUUUCCAACUUAAGAAAGAACUGUCUGGCAAAACUUUCUAUAUAUAAUAUUUAUUUAAAAUAAACUAUUUCCCUGCUGUCAUGAAGUAGCUUUAUCCAAAAUGGGAUCAGCUGGUUAUAUAAAUAUCUCCUGCAUCUUUUGGGUAAUAAAGAAAAAGAGUGUUCAGAUAAUACCACAGAGAUAAUUACUGCAUGAAAAAAGUUAUUGAGUUAUUGAUCACAUCGUGUGCACGCUGCAGGAGGCUCUGACUGAAAGACAAAGGCAAAGAAAAAUGAAAAGCAAAGACCAGCAGGCUCAUAUUUUUGAUGCUUAUCAUGCAUAAAAAGUUAUUACUUAUCCUUCUGCUUCAUUUUAGGAGAAAGAUUAUUCUCACCAUGCAGUUCGAGCAAAAUUACCAAACUGGCACCCCACUGAAUCUGAACAUCUUGCCUACACCUACAGAAAACAAACUUCAGAAUUAUACAGAAAACCCACUUAUAUUUCAUGGAGUAUUUGUGGACCUGAAAUAUAUUCACUUUAAAAAAAAAAAAAGGCAUACAGCCCUGUGCUUCAAUGUAUCAAUUCUAUUUAGAAAUGAAAAUCAAUUAGCAAAUCCAAGUGUGAAACUUGGAUAAUCUGUAGUGUAAAGGUUUUACUUUUAAUGGUUCACAUUCUUUCACUCAAAAGGAUAUUUUCUCCUUUUAAUGUCACUACAUACAUGUUCUCCCCUCCUUUUGAACAUAUAUUUUCCAUUAAUACUAGUCUGUCUGUCUGUGUCUCUCUGUGUGUGUAUGUAUGUCUUCACAAACCCACAUGUAUUAACCACUUGAGUAAUACAGACAAAUGAUGCCUCAUUGAAUUCAAUGGGACUCCACUUGUGCUUAAAAUUACAUAUAUGCUUAAAGUUACAUAUAUGUUUAAAGGUUUUGCUAAUCUGAAGCCUACAUAAUCUUUAGUUAAAAAUUGGUUUAAUGGAAAAAAUUCAAUAUAAUCUUCAGCUUCUCUUAUGAGAAAUUGAGAAUCUUUCUACUUUAAUACAACAUUCAUAGGUGACAUUUAAAAUGCAAGGGCAAGAAAUUCAAAAGCUGAGAUUCCGAGGAGCAAGAUUAUUUUAUAAAGGAAAAAUGGCCACAUGGAGACUAUAUAAUUAAUUUUAGUGAUUCUAUAGAAAAAUGUUACAUUUUUCUGGGAUUUUUUUUUAAAGUUUAGAUGAAUUUACUAUUAAAAGACCUUAAAUUGACAACACUGAAAUCUAAGUUUAUUCAUAGACCAGAUACAGCAUAGGUAGUAGAAGUUCAUGAUAACCCACUGCAUGUAUAUGCUCAUCUAUGUUUUGGAAAGAAUAUCUAUGGAAGCAAAAGUCUGAUCACCAGGCACAAUCACUGACCUCGGUUGGUACUAUUAACAAGUUGUACAGUAUCAUGCUGGCAGGCCAUGUGGAAAUGUGAGACUAUCUUCGGAAGAAAUUUCAGAUGUCAUCUUAGUACGACCUUCUCUUUGUAGAAUGUCGUAAACGAUGGGUUGGCCACAAGGGCAGCUAAUUCGCUGAUCCCUCUGGCCAUUGCAAUUGCUAUCAGAAAUGCUGCCUUCAUGGAGAGUAGCCAUGGACUCAAAUGGAGGAUGAGUUAAUGAGUUCAGGACUAGGUUGAGAUCUCAAGAUGGGAUUAUUGGCUUUAUUGGAGGAAAGGUGUUAAAUCCUCUCAAGAAUUUUUUUGGUGGUCAGGUGAGAGAAAAGAGUUUGUCCGUUCACCCUGUCAUGCUCACUAGAUAAGGCCACAAGAUGUACCUUAACAGAUGUUAGACAAGUUGUGUUUUAAGUGUGAGGAGAUACUCAAAGACCAUUGUGGUGAUUAUUUGUGUUGACUGUGGCUGAAGUGGGCUAUGGUUAGGCCAUUUUCCAUUGGGAAAAACACUGCCAUUUGUACAGGUAGGUUUUCCUUGUACUCUGUGGUAAUUAAGGAUUAUGUUUCCUACUACUUCUGUGCAGGAGAAGCAUUACACUGUUAACCAUGAAGGAGCCUUGUGGUCAGAUGAAGCUUAUGAGCCUAUGGAUGCAGAACCCAACCCUGGUCCGAGUAUACUAUGUUCAGCCAUAGAGGAAGAGUAAUAGGAGGAGCAACUUACAUCUGCGACAGGUAAGGGAACCAUGUCUGUCUGGGCCAUGCAGGUGCUAUCAUAAUCACCUUCACUUGAUUGUGCUUUUAUCUUGUGAAUGACUUUCCCUAUGAGGGAAAGGGGUGGAAAGGCAUACACUAGCCUGUGAGGCCAAUUGCUGAUCGUGGCAUCACCUAUGGAGUUCCUGCCCAGGUCCACCCUAGAGUAGUAUUUGGGGCAUUUGGAGUGGAGUGAUGUUGCCGAUAAGUCUAUUUCCACAAAAUCCCACCUGCAGAAGACGGAAUUCAGGGCUUGAGGGUGUAUCUUCCUCUUGUGCUUCUGGUGAAAACAACGCAACUGGACCACUGUGGCAUUUUGUUCAGCUGGGAAAUAUACCACAGAUCUAUCUAUUUGAUGGAGUUAUGCACCAUAUGCAUAGGGCAACUGCUUCAUUGCAUAGCUGAUGUGAUCUGGGUCCGCCUUGUCGGUUUAUGUAGAACGUGCAGGCGAUGUUAUCUGUAUAUACCCUGACUGCCUUGCCCUGAAUUAGAGAAAGUUUUCACCAGCUCGUUACUUGAGUACGUUGAUGUGCAUGCUUGACUCCCUGGGAGACCAUCUCCCCUGGAUAGUGUGAUCCGGCAUAUGGGCUCCCCAAUCUUCCAGUGAGGUAUCAAUUGUGAUGUGGAUCGACAGACUUGGCUGGUGGAAAGGAACCCCUGAGCAGAGGUUGUUGUCUUGAACCCACCAGGAAAGGGACACUCCGACCCUGUUUGUAGGGCUGAGGAUUUUGCACAAUGAGUGCCUGUGUGGGUGGAGGCAAGUGUGCAACCAGGCCUGAAGAGUUCUCUCAUGUAACCUUGCAUGAGGAACUACGUAAGUUGUUGCAGGCAUUGUCUGGCUGAUAUUUUGGGGCCGUGUAUGACAGGUUGUGCUUAUGCAGUGAGUGUGUGGAAUCUUGGAAGAGGUAGCCACGCUUGUGCUUGCAUGCAAUCAAGCAUAGCCCCUAUGAGCUUGAGUUCUUGCAAUGGGGUCAGGUUGGACUUCUGUGCAUUUAUUUGUAGCCUCAGCUCUGUAAAAUGUCUGAUUGUGGUUUUUGUGGAUUGUUUGGCCUGCUGUUCUGUUGGAGCUACUAUCAGGUAAUCGUCCAGGUAAGGGAAGAUUACUAUUCCUGAUUUUCAUAGGUGUGCUACUGCCAUGGCCAGAAUUUGAGAAGGCUCUGGGAGCCGCUGAGUACCGACAGUAUUGAUUAUUUAGUGUGAAUCUGAAGAAUUUGUGAGAUGGUCUUAUUGCAAUAUGAAAAUAUGUAUCCUGAAGGUCGAAUGCAGGAAUUAUCUUUGCCAGUGUUGUCAUGGUAAAUCACUGCUUUCUUAAGUACUUGUUCAGCCUUUGUAAAUACAAUGUGAGCCUCUAUCCUCCCUACUUUUUUUGCGUGAGGAAGUAUCUGGAGUAGAUCCCCUUUCCCCUGUGACAUUCUGGAAUAAUUUCUAUUGCUACCAUUUGUAGCAGUUUGUUUAUUUCUUGCUGUAAUGGGCUCAUGAGAAGGGUCCCUGAAGAGGGACAGGGAAGGGGAUUGGGUUGGUGGAAAUUUGAUGACUGGGAUCGCUAGGCUAUUGUUCAGGACCUCUAGGGCCCAUUUUAUUAUUGCAGCCCAGGUGUUGGAAAAAGGUUGGAAAAAGGUGUUGGAAAAAGGUUGACUCUGUAACUGCUGGCGUGAGGAAACAACAUCGAACCCCUGACCAGAUGUUCAAAAUAUCUGCCUGCCAUUGAUGGACUGGGGUGUAGUUUGCUGAUCCUGUGGCUUUCUCUGCUUCUGUUGUCUCUAGAGGCACCUCAUGUCGUAGUGUCUCUGGGAUAAAUAGGAUGCUGCUCUACCACGGGGCUUAUACAUUUGAUUGACUUUUUUCUUCUGUUGGGGGAUGUAUAUAACCAAGAGUUGAGGGUUGCCCUCAAGUCUUUUAGAGAAUAGAGUUCAGUGUCAGUAUUGGCCAAGAUUAAUUUCUAGCCCUCAAAUGGCAGGUCUUCAAUGGUGUUUUGUACUUCUCUAGAGAAGCCUAACAAAUGGAGCCAACAUAAUGAAAUCACCACCCAGAGAUCAUGGUUCGAAUCUUGCUCUUAAGCAAAAAACUGAACAUUUGGCAUUCCAGCCUAUAGCAAAAAAGUCUCGGGGGAGGGGGAGAACCCCAGUGUCUGAAUGUAUUCUGUAGGACCAUAAUGCUUAUUUUCCUCUUGUGGGACAGAUAACUUUCUCUUUAGUGCAUUUGUGCUGGUGUUCUGAGAUCCUUGUAGAUAGGUAGCUGAUGCAUUUAUCACAACAGCAAUGUACCAGUUUCAUAAUCUCAUUGCUUUAAUGCAGACAGAAUGUGACCUUGCUCUUCCUUUGAAGGUUUACAUAAAUAUGAAAAGAAUGUUGUCUGUCAGUACCUUUAUGGUCUUAGGUAAAAAGCAUGAGCAUGCACUGCAGACUGCUCAUAAUUCCAGUAGGUUGAUGUGUAAACUUGACUCUGUGGGGGCCCACCUACCAUGAAUUGUGUGGUUGUUCAAGAAAGCUCCCUGACCUUAAGGAUACAUACAAAAGGGACUGUGUGAAAAGGACUCCUAUAUUGUGGGGUUGAGCCAACCAGUGUACAGGGCUUUUGAGUGAUGAGACAUUUGUUCAGACUUUGGCUGUGUUGAAUGUAUGUUGUCCAGAUCCAGCCUUACAGACAAUGCACAUGUAGGCUAGCAUGUUUACCUAACAUAGUUGCUGUCAUAUGACCAAUAGUUGGGAGAGAGGUCCUGAAUGAUGGUAUCUGUUUGCUAGUCUGUGCUGUUCAAUCAAAGGUGAUAAAUCUGCAUAGUGGUAACAAGGCUUUGGCUUCCGGCACAUCAAGGUGGGUCACAAUGAAGUCUAGUUUUUGAAUGGUUCUUGUCAAUUUUUUCAUGCUUAUUUAUAAUAGCUGAGAGAAGAGAACCAUCCUCCUCGGAGUAGCUUCUACAGCAUCUUCCUGAGAAAGGGGCUUUAAGUAGACAGUUGUUUAAAAUAGGGGAAUAUCAUGAAUCCUUAUUUGCAGAAGUAGGCCACCACCAAUUGCAAGAACCUUGGAGAAUAUCAGGCAUUAUUUUGUACUGGUAGCAAACUAGUCCCUGAAUUGAUUAGAAGAAUCUCCAGAACACUGGGUGUCUGGAAACAUGAAAAUAUCCAUCCUGGAGAGCAAAGGUCAAGACCCAGUCCCUUUGUUUCAGUGCUUGGAUUAUAGUUGCCAACAUGACCAUCAGACCUGCUAAUGGGAGAGGGGAGGCAGCCAGAACCUGAGGCCCUUUAAAUUGCCAUGGGAGUGCUAUGCCACAUGCUUUGGGUAGCUCUGGAGGGCUGGGGGUGCAGAGCAGAGGGCUGGCUGCCCCAGACCCACCUCUUCUGUCUGAGUUUCUGCCCAUUCCAGGGGCACAGAGCCACUCUCCCCCCUCCCCCGGACGGACGGACGCACGCACACACACCUUGCCCAGGGCAAUAGAAGCUGUCGGCUCCCUUAAUGACCACACUCAACCUUCAUGAACAUGCUGAGUUUCCUUAGGUUAAGAAUAGGCUUUCAUUCCCCACUCUUUUUCUGGGUUUAGUAGUGGAAAUAAAAGCCUCCUCCUUCUGUGUUGUGUCAGUACUUGUUCUACCACAGCCAAGUACAGGAAGUGAUUUAUUUCAAAAAAUGAUCACAAGAAAGAUCCCUGUAAAGGGACAUUAAGGGAAGGUGGAUAGGAGGGGAAUAGGAGGUAAAUGGGAUUAAGUAACCAGUGUUUUUGUAGGUCACAUUGCCUCUGUGGUUGGACAGAAGGGGUAGGUCUUGUCUGUUGAAUAGACUAUUUCUCCAGCUUCCUCCUUUUGGCAGAUGUGUAAAUAUUUAAAGACCAAUGAGUUGCCCUGGAAUCCUUCAAGGUUUGGAGGGAUUAGUCUUUCCACGAACAAUUUCUGGACCUCAAAGGGAAGAUCAUUAACAGUAGAUUGGACCUUCUUAGGAAACCCAGAGAGGUGGAGUCACAAAGGAAGUCACAUAACUUCUGUAGUGCCAAUGAAUCGUAUGGCUGUUUCUAACUUAUCCAAUGAAGCUUAUAAGGCCAUCCAUGCAAGAAGGUGACCCUCUUUAUUGUUAUUUGUCAUCAUCAGAGAUAAUAAACUUGGAUAUCUUAUAAUUGGCAAUUCUAAAUUGCAGAGUUGCUGACAAACAGAUCUUGUGCCCCCAAAACGGUCUUUUUCCAGUUAUGUAUGGGAUGGUUCUGAAGUGGUACUGUCUGCCCCAGUAAUUCAUGGCCUCUAAGGAAUUUAGUGGGGGAUAUGAGAAGAAAAAGCUAUUGCUUUUGUGGGGACGUAAUACUUUGUCCACUCAUUUACAAGUGGGUGGUAUUAUUGCCAGGGUCUGCCAGAUGAUCUUGGUUGGGUCCAACAUACCUCAUUUAUAGAGUGCAAUCUUUGAUUACAUUUGCAUCUGUAAAAUAGCCAACAGCUUACACCCAGACUCUGCCAUUUCUUCGGAGGUAUUUUAAGCAAGUCAGCAAUUUAUGAAAAUAGAUUCUGGAACUAAGUGGUGGAGACAUGUCUGCUUCGUCUGAGGAGGAUGAAGAGAUUGACUAAAGCUAUGACUUCCUGUUGCAAAGCCUCCUCCCAUUCUUCAGAAACUGCUCCAGAAGCUCUACCUGCCAAGGUUGAUGCAGAACACUACUUCUUCUCUCUGUAGACACUAGAAGGCCUAAAGUACUAGUGACUGUACGAAGAUCACGAAUUCCAAAAUUACCAUUGCAGGAGGAAUGGCACCAGUGGUGGGAUGUCCAUACCACUCUUGGGUAUCACUUGGCUGAUAUGCAGGUUACUUUGGUGGACCUGGACUAGCAGUCAUGCAAAUGGGUGAAUCAUCACUUAAAAAAAGGCGAGGAUGAUCUCAGUGAUGGUAUAAAUUAGCAUAGUACUGAACAUGCUGGAGUAAUAUCAGUACAAAAUAAAAGGGAAAUUCUAGUUACAUACACUAGCAACUCCUUAUGAUGAAGAAACUGGUGGUGCCACAAGUCUCAAUACAUAAAACUGUGUUAUAGAUAGUGCUGCUAUUGUAGCCGAUAUCAGUACAGAGGUAGUUGCGCUAUGUGCUAGGAGAAUGGUAGAUGUAGACCAACCGUGAUGAUGUUGAGCUGCUCAGUGCCAGAUGUUUAAGAGGCUCCCCAUCAGUACAAAGGAGAAGGUGAUCUCCUCUCUCAGUCUGCUCACUUAAGGUCUUUGGCUGUCUCAGUACCAGAAUAUCCCACCGACUUGUAGGUGCUUAGCCAUGCUGUGGUCAAUACCAAGGGUGUCAGGAGUUCAUUCUUUUUGGUUGGUUCCCUGGAAAGGGAAUUUGUUGCCUUCCUUUUUUCACCAUUUGAGGACUGAUUUACUCUUUUGGGCAAGGCAACAGACACACCCAGCAUUUCCAAUACUGACCAGGACUGAGUCCCAGCAAGCAAGGCGUAGUUUAAACUCUGGGGAUCUGGGCAUACCCUUCAGUAGCAUUGCCCAGGAGAAAGGGGUUAAAGCUGCACUAUACUAAAGGGUGAACAAACUUAAUGAUAUCUAAUAUUUUAAAAUAAUAAAAUAAAUGGGGAAGAGGAGGGUAACUAUAGCUAACUACUCUAACACUUCAAUAACAACAAGUCUAAUAUAUAAUAAGUAAAGAGUUGCUGUCAUAGCUCUGAAGCCAAGGGACAUUGAGAAGGAACUUGGGGGUUGUUUGAUCACAGAAUACUAUAAAGCUGCCAGAAGAGGCAUGACACAGGGAGACCCUGCACGUGUGACCCAACAGGUCACUGCUACUGAAAUUUUCCAAUCACUGGCACAGGGAUGCACAUUCACUUAAAAGUUGAGGAAAGGGACACUCCCUGAAUAAAAGUUGAUAAUUGAAAAGUUACAAUGAUCUCCCUGCCUUUCACCUACUCUGGAUAUAAGAUUUCUAAACAUAACAUCCCACUGAUAAAGAGGAAAGGUUAGAGAGGUAAGAUUUUACUGAACCAAUUUCUGUUGGUGGAUAAGCUUUUGACCUUACACAGAGGUGGCCUUCAGGACUUGAAGACAACCUGAAGAAGCUCAAAAGCUUCUCUCUCUCUCAUCAGGAGAAGUCAGUCCAAUAAAAGGCAUAACCCCUCACUCACUUUGAGGGUCUAAUAUAAUGGGACCAACAUGGCUACAACAACUCUGCACACAAGGAUAAAGUGGGUAGGGACAAGAAAGCAGAAAUUUGUUGAUCAAGAAAGUAUCCUAUGAAAAGAGACAAUGAUUUUCUCACUGAUCUACCCUGAACCAUAGAUAAAAAGCUAUCAGAAUACACCUCAAAAACUAGUACUGAAAUUACUUAGGUAUGAAAGUCCAUCCUGGGUAGUUGUAGGAUAAGAAAUUAGCUAAAUUACUUUAUAAAACAUUUAAAAGACCUCAUAGUCACUUGUUUUGCCUGUUACAAAAUUGAAAAUAAAAAGGUACUUUGAAAAAGUGGUUUUCCUCAACCAGAUUCAAAGAGGCUAUGAAUUGAAAGGGAGGGGAGAGAAGCAAAUAUAUUUUACUGUAAUUGAACUGAUAAAGACAAAUUUUUCCUUCUCAAUAACUUAUAAAUCUACUAAUCCAUAUUUUAAAGUGUUUUCAAUUUAUUAAAAUGUGAAUUUGUUUAACUCUUAUUAAAAACAACCAGGCUGGCCUGGAAAAUGUUUGAGGAAGCAGGAGAUGUAGAGAUCCAUUACGCUACAUUGCUGACAAUUUGCCUUUUGAGGAAUAAAUUGUACUUAAUUAUUUACUCUUGGAGAGGUGGGAAGAAAACUUUCAAGAAAGUGAUGGGAUAUACUCUUUUCAAUGCAAGAGUAAUGGGAUAUACUCUUCUUUCAUGCCAGCUUAUUAUUUCAGAGAGUGCAGAACAGCAAUGGGCAACCUACGUUAGUGAGUGGACCGUGACUGGCCCUCCAUCUUAGUGGGCUGCAAGACUGUUGUAACUAAGGUGGUCUCACAGUUUUGCUAACUAGAAUUUGCUAACUAGAAUUUGCAGUGUGCGUCAACUAAACUAUAGCAGCACUUUGAUUAGAUCAGGAGUGGGCAAUAAUCUUUGACAGGAGGCCACUUCAAGA